rnacentral:rRNA from 1 species
CAAAGGUGAGCCAGUACAGGAUGGACCCGCGUCUGAUUAGCUAGUUGGUAAGGUAACGGCUUACCAAGGCGACGAUCAGUAGCCGACCUGAGAGGGUGAUCGGCCACAUUGGAACUGAGACACGGUCCAAACUCCUACGGGAGGCAGCAGUGGGGAAUAUUGCACAAUGGGCGAAAGCCUGAUGCAGCAACGCCGCGUGAGUGAUGAAGGCCUUCGGGUCGUAAAACUCUGUCCUCAAGGAAGAUAAUGACGGUACUUGAGGAGGAAGCCCCGGCUAACUACGUGCCAGCAGCCGCGGUAAUACGUAGGGGGCUAGCGUUAUCCGGAUUUACUGGGCGUAAAGGGUGCGUAGGCGGUCUUUCAAGUCAGGAGUGAAAGGCUACGGCUCAACCGUAGUAAGCUCUUGAAACUGGGAGACUUGAGUGCAGGAGAGGAGAGUGGAAUUCCUAGUGUAGCGGUGAAAUGCGUAGAUAUUAGGAGGAACACCAGUUGCGAAGGCGGCUCUCUGGACUGUAACUGACGCUGAGGCACGAAAGCGUGGGGAGCAAACAGGAUUAGAUACCCUGGUAGUCCACGCUGUAAACGAUGAGUACUAGGUGUCGGGGGUUAC